ensembl:misc_RNA Metazoa_SRP Metazoan signal recognition particle RNA
GUCAGAUGUGGUGGCAGGCAUCUGUAGUCCCAGCUACUCAGGAGGCUGAGGCAGGAGGAUGGCUUGAGCCCAGGAGUUUGAGGCUGCAGUGAGCUUUCUUGCACCACUGCACUCCAACCUGGGCAACAGAGCAAGACCCUGUCUCUU